rnacentral:rRNA from 1 species
CAGUCGCCGCGGGAAUACGAAGGGGGCUAGCGUUGUUCGGAAUUACUGGGCGUAAAGGGCGCGUAGGCGGCCAUUCAAGUUAGAUGUGAAAGCCCUGGGCUCAACCUAGGAAUUGCAUUUGAUACUGUUUGGCUUGAGUUCGGGAGAGGUGAGUGGAAUUCCCAGUGUAGAGGUGAAAUUCGUAGAUAUCGGAAGGAACACCUGUGGCGAAGGCGGCUACCUGGAUUGACACUGACACUGAGGCGCGAGAGCGUGGGGAGCAAACAGGAUUAGAUACCCGGGUAGUCCCUGUCUCUUAUAU